rnacentral:rRNA from 1 species
UGUUGACCUCGGAUCAGGUAGGAAUACCCGCUGAACUUACAACAGGGAUUGCCCUAGUAACGGCGAGUGAAGCGGCAACAGCUCAAAUUUGAAAUCUGGCUUUCGGGCCCGAGUUGUAAUUUGUAGAGGAUACUUUUGAUGCGGUGCCUUCCGAGUUCCCUGGAACGGGACGCCAUAGAGGGUGAGAGCCCCGUCUGGUUGGAUGCCAAAUCUCUGUAAAGUUCCUUCGACGAGUCGAGUAGUUUGGGAAUGCUGCUCUAAAUGGGAGGUAUAUGUCUUCUAAAGCUAAAUAUUGGCCAGAGACCGAUAGCGCACAAGUAGAGUGAUCGAAAGAUGAAAAGCACUUUGAAAAGAGAGUUAAAAAGUACGUGAAAUUGUUGAAAGGGAAGCGUUUAUGACCAGACUUGGACUUGGUUAAUCAUCUGGGGUUCUCCCCAGUGCACUUUUCCAGUUCAGGCCAGCAUCAGUUUUCGCCGGGGGAUAAAGGCAGCGGGAAUGUGGCUCUCUUCGGGGAGUGUUAUAGCCCGUUGUGUAAUACCCUGGUGGGGACUGAGGUUCGCGCUUCUGCAAGGAUGCUGGCGUAAUGGUCAUCAACGA